UCAGACAUAUCUAACGAAAUUCCUAGGAGUGGUGUUAUAAGGAAAGAAGAAGAUGAAGAAGAAGAAAAAGCAGAAUAAGAAAAAAAGAAAGAAAGAUAAAGGUCAAAAGCGUCGGAAAAAUUUCCAAGAGAGCAAACUCCGAUUAUAUUCGGACACCUUACAAGCAGGAAUUUCAAAAGGAAGGUGAAACUGUCAGGAUAGCUUGCCCCGCAAAAAGCCACGUCGUCGUCGUCGUCGUCGUCGUCGCUAUGUCUCCCGCAAACGAGACUCGAAGGAAGGGAGUAAGUCCGGAAGAGCAAAAGCUUCGGGUUAAAGCUUAGAAACUCGGUAUCCAGGUCACACCCUGAGCUCGGCAAGAGCGUGGGAUUUUCUGCGGUGACAGGUAUCGGAGAGAGAAAGAGAUAAAAAAAGAGAAAGAGAGAGAGAGAGAGAGAGAGAGCGCGCGCGAGAAAGAGUGAGAGAAGAAGACGGAAAGAACGUGGCUAGAGACAAGAUGACCGUAGUCUCGCCAUUGUCUAAUUUCAAGAAGGGUUCUGCCAAGAGAAGCGAGCAACGAUGUUCCUUGAAUCUUUGAUGCUUUUUCGCCGAUGUUCUUUCGAACGUCUGACGGAAUCUCGUCGACUCGUUGAUUUUCAAUGCCCCUGCUGCUGUCGUUUGCUGAAAUAGACUUUUCAACAAGAUAUAUAAGAUCGUGCCUUCUUCGAAAAUGGCACGUUGAUUUUCAUCUAUCGAAUCGCUAUGCCAAAUAUUAAAACGACAAAAAUUAAUUGUACUGAG